rnacentral:rRNA from 1 species
GAACGCUGGCGGCGUGCUUAACACAUGCAAGUCGAACGGGAAACCUUUUAUUGAAGCUUCGGCAGAUUUAACUGGUUUCUAGUGGCGGACGGGUGAGUAACGCGUGGGUAACCUGCCUUGUACAGGGGGAUAACAGUCAGAAAUGACUGCUAAUACCGCAUAAGCGCACAGGACCGCAUGGUCCGGUGUGAAAAACUCCGGUGGUAUAAGAUGGACCCGCGUUGGAUUAGCUAGUUGGUGAGGUAACGGCCCACCAAGGCGACGAUCCAUAGCCGGCCUGAGAGGGUGAACGGCCACAUUGGGACUGAGACACGGCCCAGACUCCUACGGGAGGCAGCAGUGGGGAAUAUUGCACAAUGGGGGAANACCCUGAUGCAGCGACGCCGCGUGAACGGAAAGAAGUAUCUCGGUAUGUAAACUUNCUAUCCAGCAGGGGAAGAAAAUGACGG